GAUGAACGCUGGCGGCGUGCCUAAUACAUGCAAGUCGAGCGAACAGACGAGGAGCUUGCUCCUCUUACGUUAGCGGCGGACGGGUGAGUAACACGUGGAUAACCUACCUAUAAGACUGGGAUAACUUCGGGAAACCGGAGCUAAUACCGGAUAAUAUAUUGAACCGCAUGGUUCAAUAGUGAAAGACGGUUUUGCUGUCACUUAUAGAUGGAUCCGCGCCGCAUUAGCUAGUUGGUAAGGCAACGGCUUACCAAGGCAACGAUGCGUAGCCGACCUGGGAGGGUGAUCGGCCACACUGGAACUGAGACACGGUCCAGACUCCUACGGGAGGCAGCAGUAGGGAAUCUUCCGCAAUGGGCGAAAGCCUGACGGAGCAACGCCGCGUGAGUGAUGAAGGUCUUCGGAUCGUAAAACUCUGUUAUUAGGGAAGAACAAAUGUGUAAGUAACUAUGCACGUCUUGACGGUACCUAAUCAGAAAGCCUCGGCUAACUACGUG
rnacentral:rRNA from 1 species